rnacentral:tRNA from 1 species
GGUGACGUAGCCAAGCGGUUAGGCGAGGGUCUGCAAAACCCUUCACGGCAGUUCAACUCUGCCCGUCACCUCCA